AGUGAGGAAUAUUGGGCAAUGGGUGAAAGCCUGACCCAGCCAUACCGCGUGCAGGAUGAAGGCCCUAUGGGUUGUAAACUGCUUUUGUACGAGAAGAAACCCUCCGACGUGUCGGAGUCUGACGGUAUCGUACGAAUAAGGAUCGGCUAACUCCGUGCCAGCAGCCGCGGUAAUACGGAGGAUCCAAGCGUUAUCCGGAUUUAUUAGGUUUAAAGGGUGCGUAGGCGGAAUAAUAAGUCAGUGGUGAAAUCCUGCAGCUCAACUGUAGAACUGCCAUUGAAACUAUUAUUCUUGAGUACAGAUGAGGUGGGCGGAAUGUGUUAUGUAGCGGUGAAAUGCAUAGAUAUAACACAGAACACCGAUUGCGAAGGCAGCUCACUAGACUGUUACUGACGCUGAUGCACGAAAGCGUGGGGAGCGAACAGGAUUAGAUACCCUGGUAGUCCACGCUGUAAACUAUGAUUACUCGUUGUGUGCAAUAUAUCGUACGCGGCUGAGCGAAAGCAUUAAGUAAUCCACCUGGGGAGUACGAUCGCAAGAUUGAAACUCAAAGGAAUUGACGGGGGCCCGCACAAGCGGAGGAACAUGUGGUUUAAUUCGAUGAUACGCGAGGAACCUUACCUGGACUUAAAUGCAGGACGACUUUUUGAGAAAUCAGAAUUCCCUUCGGGGCGGACUGCAAGGUGCUGCAUGGUUGUCGUCAGCUCGUGCCGUGAGGUGUCGGGUUAAGUCCCAUAACGAGCGCAACCCCUAUCGUUAGUUGCCAGCUGGUAAAGCAGGGGACUCUAACGAAACUGCUGGUGUAAACCGUGAGGAAGGUGGGGAUGACGUCAAAUCAGCACGGCCCUUAUGUCCAGGGCUACACACGUGUUACAAUGGUCGAUACAAAGGGCAGCUACUUGGCAACAAGAUGCUAAUCUCUAAAAUCGGUCUCAGUUCGGAUCGAAGUCUGCAACUCGACUUCGUGAGGUUGGAUUCGCUAGUAAUCGUAUAUCAGCAAUGAUACGGUGAAUACGUUCCCGGGCCUUGUACACACCGCCCGUCAAGCCAUGGAAGCUUGGGGUACCUGAGGUCUGUAACCGCAAGGAGCGGCCUAAGGUAAAACAAGUGACUGGGGCU
rnacentral:rRNA from 1 species